rnacentral:rRNA from 1 species
ACUCCUACGGGAGGCAGCAGUGGGAAUAUUGGACAAUGGGAACCGUAGCAUCAGCCAUGCCGCGUGUGUGAAGAAGGCCUUCGGGUUGUAAAGCACUUUCAGUGGGGAGGAAAGGAUUGAUGGUUAAUACCUAUCAGCUGUGACGUUACCCACAGAAGAAGCACCGGCUAACUCCGUGCCAGCAGCCGCGGUAAUACGGAGGGUGCGAGCGUUAAUCGGAAUUACUGGGCGUAAAGCGCAUGCAGGUGGUUUGUUAAGUCAGAUGUGAAAGCCCGGGGCUCAACCUCGGAAUAGCAUUUGAAACUGGCAGACUAGAGUACUGUAGAGGGGUGAGAAAUUUCAGGUNUAGCGGUAAAUGCGUAGAGAUCUG